rnacentral:tRNA from 1 species
GCUACGGUGGUGUAGCGGUUAUCAUAGCUGCCUUCCAAGCAGUCAAUCCUGGUUUCGACUCCCGGCGGUCGCA